ACUUGGCUAGAGGUUUUAGGUUCUUAGACUCCAGUCAGUAGUUGUGUUGGCUUUCUUUCUUUCUCUUAGUCUCUCUGUAGUGUGCUUCUCUCUCUCUCUCUCUCUCUCUCUCUCUCUCUCUCUCUCUCUCUCUCCCCUUUCACAUUCUCCUUCUGUUGCCCUCCCUCUCUCAUUUCUCCUCAUAGGUUCAAUGCAGGCAGAUGAGUGUCACAGAUGUAACUGAGGCACUGAAUAAUCAACAUAUCGGAGCCAAUUCCCAGGACGGCAAGAGGGGGAACCGGCAGAGAUGACUGACCCUGGAGGACAAGAGCAUUCUUCUGACAAGUUUUAGAUACUCAGGCUGAUGGAGUCAGGGACGAAGUGGCUUAUCAACAACACAGGAUGUCUGCAGGGAACAGAACUUAUUCAGACAUGGCCCAGAUUGUCUGCCCGUGGGGACUGAGGGACCUCUGAGGGUUACAUCAGGAAGGAAGGAGAGGCUGUUUCUACAGGUGCCACAGAAAAAUCGAUGCUGAGCCUCGGAUUAUUGGAUCCCAUAGAACCGUGGAGACUUGGCAGUGAAAUUCUUCCAAAGGCAGGCAGAGGUGUUCCUGGUUUGGGAAGUAUAAAUCCCGUGGGA
ensembl:lincRNA Rmst rhabdomyosarcoma 2 associated transcript (non-coding RNA)